rnacentral:rRNA from 1 species
AAUAGAUACCCGGGUAGUCCACGCCGUAAACGAUGGAUACUAGCUGUUUGAGCGCAAGUUUGAGUGGCUAAGCGAAAGUGAUAAGUAUCCCACCUGGGGAGUACGGGCGCAAGCCUGAAACUCAAAGGAAUUGACGGGGGCCCGCACAAGCGGUGGAGCAUGUGGUUUAAUUCGAUGAUACGCGAGGAACCUUACCAGGGCUUAAAUGUAGAUUGACGUAUUUGGAAACAGAUAUUUCUUCGGACAAUUUACAAGGUGCUGCAUGGUUGUCGUCAGCUCGUGCCGUGAGGUGUCAGGUUAAGUCCUAUAACGAGCGCAACCCCUGUUGUUAGUUGCCAGCGAGUAAUGUCGGGAACUCUAGCAAGACUGCCAGUGUAAACUGUGAGGAAGGUGGGGAUGACGUCAAAUCAUCACGGCCCUUAGUCCCUGGGCCACACACGUGCUACAAUGGCCGGUACAGAGAGCAGCCACUUAGCGAUAAGGAGCGAAUCUAUAAAGCCGGUCACAGUUCGGAUCGGAGUCUGCAACG